rnacentral:rRNA from 1 species
GAUGAACGCUGGCGGCGUGCCUAACACAUGCAAGUCGAGCGAGAAUCUCAUAAAUGACGCUUCGGUUGAUUUUAUGAGAGGAAAGCGGCGGACGGGUGAGUAACGCGUAGGCAACCUACCCUUUGCAGAGGGAUAGCCUCGGGAAACCGGGAUUAAAAACCUCAUAAAGCCAAGGAAAGACAUCUUUUCAUGGCCAAAGAUUUAUCGGCAAAGGAUGGGCCUGCGUCUGAUUAGCUAGUUGGUGGGGUAACGGCCUACCAAGGCAACGAUCAGUAGCCGACCUGAGAGGGUGAUCGGCCACAUUGGAGCUGAGACACGGUCCAA